CCUACAAGGCGGGGCCAAGGGAGACGCCUGGAGACCUGAGAUCUGGAUGGGCGGUGCACUCACUCGGUUCCGGGACCUUGGACGGUGAAGGUGGGCCAAGCAGAGCUCCAGAGAACACCGCUGGACUGCGAUACACCUUCACCAGACCCCUCAACCUACCUAUCCCUUAACUUGAAGGCACCUUGUUCUCUAUGACUAAAGUCAGAGAAUGAACUUUCUCAAGCCACAUGCUGCAGCUGAGUACGCAUUCCCAAGCUGGAGACAUCGACACUACACCAUUCCCUUGGAAUUCAUGAAGAAUGCGUUCUUGCAGAGUGCAGAAAGCAUAUGAUGAAUUUCUGAGAUCCUCCCAUCACCAAAUAUUGGCAGGUGUGACUUGGAGAGGUUAUAUACAGCUGUGACAACAAUGAACUGGUCCAGGGAGUCAAAAAAGAUCAUCUCCACUUCUGAUGAGUUUCUUUCUAUAGUGACAGCAAGGUGCACCUUCCCCACGAUGAUUACUACCAUCUCAGACCUCCUUUCCUGCUGAUUUGGAACAGGAGGCACGGCUUCUACAUUUCAAGUUGUUCAGGAUGUGUUCGGAUGUGUGGGUUUCAGAGCCUGCAAACCCAAUAACGUAGGGAUAAAAGAAGACAGAAAAAUAAAUGAUACUGUUUCCGAGGUAUUAAAUAUAAGCCUGGCUAUCUGAGCUGCGUGGCAGUCACGAAUCGUAAUCAGGUUUCUUCACUUAACACAAUGCAUACUACAUUGGUUUUCAGGAGUGAAAAUAAAGACAGUUUAUGAAGAGAGAGAAAGACACUCUCAAGAAGGGGAAUAGGAUCAUGGACAAUGGGAACCUGUACUCAGAAUCCCAGUUUGAAAUCCCAACAGAUCAUUGACUAGUAAAUUUCAUGUGAAGUUGUGGAGUCUGGAAUGACUAUUUUAUAAAUAUAAAAUAUCGUUCUCUAGA